ACGUUUGUUUCUCCUUCGCGGUAAAACUACUGAACCGAUUUGGCUGAAAUUUCGAAUGAAUAUAGAUUAUGCCCUGGGUUAGCACAUAGGUUACUUUUUAUCUCAGAAAAUCCAUGGUUUCCACAUGAAUUAAAUCAGAAUUUCGACAAACAGGAUUUAAAACCAAAAUAUACGCAAGCGGGGCCGCGGGCAUCAGUUAGUUUUAAAAAAUAAGUUCCCAAAAUACUAAAAAAUAUAAUUUAACCUAUUUACAACACAUAUAUGGGAGAAAAUAAUAUUGGCCGCCUAAUUCCUGGAUCUGCCCCACUGUGCGGCGCCUAUAACCGAAUGUGCACA